rnacentral:rRNA from 1 species
ACGGAAGGCAGCAGUGGGGAAUAUUAGGCAAUGGGGGCAACCCUGACCUAGCAACGCCGCGUGAAGGAAGAAGGCCUUCGGGUUGUAAACUUCUUUUAUAGGGGACGAAACAAAUGACGGUACCCUAUGAAUAAGCCACGGCUAACUACGUGCCAGCAGCCGCGGUAAUACGUAGGUGGCAAGCGUUGUCCGGAUUUACUGGGUGUAAAGGGCGCGUAGGCGGAGCGGCAAGUCAGAUGUGAAAUCUAUGGGCUUAACCCAUAAACUGCAUUUGAAACUGUCGCCCUUGAGUGUCGGAGAGGUAGAUGGAAUUCCUAGUGUAGCGGUGAAAUGCGUAGAUAUUAGGAGGAACACCAGUGGCGAAGGCGAUCUACUGGACGAUAACUGACGCUGAGGCGCGAAAGCUAGGGGAGCAAACAGGAUUAGAUACCCUGGUA